GCAAAACAAAUUCCUGGAAAUUGGGAGAAAAUGAAGAGGAGAUGAACUCAGCUAAAGCAGGAACUCAACAAAAGCAAUAAAACCCAGUUUGAGAACCCAGAGAUAAUAUCACAAGAGUCCAGGAAUUAAUUGCAGAGAAACAACACCAGCAAUGCACCAAAAAAUGGAGUUGAAUGAUGCAAGCAGACUCGAAAUAGACGUCGGGGACCUCUGAACCAUUGAUUACCAAAAUCAAAAGGUAACUUAGGCCAUUUCUAUCCCUAGAUAAGCUAGAGGUUUUAGUUUAGAGCUUUUGGAACUCAAAAUCACUCUAAAGGUGAUAUGGAACAGUGAUUUUCUCCAGUUUUUAUUGUCUGAAGUUUUUCAGAAUUUUUUCAGUAUUAUUUUAUGCCUCUCCCACUUUCUAG
rnacentral:lncRNA from 1 species